rnacentral:lncRNA from 1 species
UGGUUGGAAUUCUAUACUAGAGAGCUUAUGGUUUGGUGUUCCGAUUGCUGCAUGGCCAUUGUUUUCAGAGCAACAACUAAAUGCGUUCGAGAUGAUGAUUGAACUGGGAUUAGCAGCAGAGAUUAAAAUGGAUUAUAGGAAGGAUUUUAGAGCUGAAAACGAAGUGAUUGUGAGUGCUGAUAUUAUAGAGAAAGGAAUAAUGUCUGUUAUGGAGCAGGAUAGCGAAGUAAGGAAGAAGGUGAAAGCCAUGAGUGAAAUGGGCAAGAAGGUUUUGCUGGAUGGUGGAUAUUCGCACUCAAUCCUCGGUCGUUUAAUUGAAGAUAUGAUGAACAAUUUGAAAUGAAGCAACAAAAACAGUUUGUAAGUUUGUUUAUUUUUGAGACAUUUCUAAUAUAUUUGAACAGCCCAUCUGAUUUCCAAAUCAUUACUUACUCCAUUGAAACAAAUGUUCUUAAUUUCCUUUUCUUUUUAAGCAUUUACGUUUCGAUGAUGAAUUCUGAUUUUCAGCACCCUACAUAUUUGCCAAAAAGCAUCAUGUUUCAUCAAGUCUGAGUAGUCUUUAAACUAGUUAAAAAGUUAGUACCUUGGGGUCAUCAGCUAAGGAGCUUAUCUCCUUCCUCUGUCCAUGUUUGAAUGCCACCUCCGAAUCACACUGCCAUGAAAGUCAAUCCAUCGUUCUCUAAUUUGAUGAACUGAAUGGCCAAACAUAUAAAACACACCACGAACUCAUUAUUUUUUCCACACAUCACGAACUCCUUCAAACCAAACAUUAAUAAAAGAAAGAAUCCAGUCUCUUGUAGCCAAGUUUUUAGUGAAUGCAGAAAACAGAGCUGGUGUUUGUCCCUUCCCCAGGGAUUGGCCACGUUGUUCCAAUGGUGGAGUUAGCAAAACUCCUUGUUCACCAUGAUCGAUGACAGAAUUUUCAACACUGUUAUCAUCAUCAGGAUAGCUUUGGAGUUCAAAAUCAGCAAAUACACUGAGUCACUCACUGCCACUGCCAUAUUCACUCGUAUCCAGUUCCUUGACCUACCCAGUGAUAAAACAAACGCAUCAAAUGAUCAUCCCUCCAAAUUUACCACUUCUUCGAUUGAAAGCCAAAAGCCCCACCUCAAAGAAUUUGUUUCAAACCUCAUAACUCCGUCCGAGUACAGCUAUAUGCAGAGUGUGAAGGUGAAUAUGUAGUAAAAUUAUAAAUGAGAUAUUUUAAAAUAUUUAAGAAAUAUAUUUUUUAUAAGUGGGGUUUUAAAUAAUCUUUAUUUUAUAUUUACGAUUUUUUGUUAAAUGAAAUAAUUUUUUAUUUUAUAAAAUAUAAUUCAUAAAAAUACCUGAGUAUUAUUAUUAUUAUUAUUUGUUAAAUGAAGAUCCUGAAUUAUUAUCCAAAUUGGUAAUAUUUCCUGACCGGCUCGAUUAUAAGCUCCUCGGUUUUGUUCUGGACAUGUUUCUUACAGGAAUGACCUUGGUACAUUGGAUUCUCACAGUCAAACAUGGACUUUAGGUCCUUUUCUUCCUCGGUCAAACGUGGACUUUAGGUCCCGUGAUUAAAAAACAAGAUAGCUUGAUAUCUAAAAAUUUCAUUAAAUAGACUGUCAAAUUAUAAUUAUGUUUUCAAGAAUCUUUUCAAGAAUCUAUAACUUUAAAUGUUAUGUUUUUCAAUUAUAACAUACAUAAACUAUUCUAUUUCAUUAAAAUCUUUUCUAUCUUAAUUAUUUUUGCCAAUAAUUUUGUUUAUAUGGUAUUAAUAUUAACUAAUAUUCUAAAAAACGUGAGGAAAGUAUUGUAGUUUUCCUCACGUCAAAUGUUUUUUUUCUCCAUAUUUUUUUUCAUUUUUUUCCUUUUUUUAGGCUUUACAUGUUUUUUUUCCUUUUUUUUCCAAGAUUGUCUUCUUCUUCUUCUUUUUCCUUUUGUUUUUGUGUUUUUUUUUAAAUCAUCUUUGUCGAUUUUUUUUAAUAUUGAACUAGUUGAAAAUUUAGUUCUGUAAUUUUUUUAAAAAACAUUAUAGAUUACUACAAUGUUUCCUUACAUGACUUUUUUUCUUCUUUUUUUUAUGAAUUUUUUUCUUUUUUUUUUCAAAAUGGUCUUUGUCGAUUUUGCUUCGUAGUUUUUUUCUUUAAAACACUGUGAAUUGUUACAAUGUUUUUCCACAUGAUUUUUGUUUUGCUAAAGUAUUUCCCCACAUGUUUUUUUUUAAAUUAUCUUUGUCGAUUUUUUUUAAUAUUGAGCUGGUUAAAAAUUCAAUUUUAACUUUUCCCACAUUUGUUUUUCUAUUUUUUUCAUUUAUUUUCGCUUUUUUUUUCAAAAUUGUCUUCUUCUUGUUUUUUUUUUUUUAGAAUUGCUUUUAUUAUUAUAAGCUGAAAAUUUAGAUUUGUAAUUUUUUUCUUUACAACAUUGUGGAUUGCUAUAGUUUUCCCACAUGUUUUUUUUUUUUCAGAAUUGUCUUUGUCGAUUUUUUUUUCUUUUCAUAUUGAGCUGGUUGAGAAUUUAAAUUCAUAGUUUUUUUUUUCUUUAAAAUACAGUGGAUUGCUACAAUGUUCCCCCAUAUGAUUUUUUUUUUGUUAUGAUUUUUUUAAAAUUAUUUUUAUUGACUUUAUUAUUUUUAAUAUUGAGCUGGUUGAGAAUUACAACCGUAGAUUUUUUCAUAAAACACUAUAGAUUGCUAUAGUGUUUUUCUAUAUAAUUUUUUUUCUUUCGGUUUUUUUUGUUAUGAUUUUUUUCAAAAUUUUCUUUAUUCAUUUUAUUUUUUAAAUAUUAAUCUCGUUAAGAAUUUAACUUUAUAAUUUUUUUCUUCGAAAUAUUAUAGAUUAUAACAGUUUUCUUUCAUAUAAUUUUUUUUUUAUUUUUUUAACAAACCCACUACAACGGAUAAUCAUAUUAUAAACAGGCAAUAUCGCAGUGCACGGCAUCUAGUAUUCAUUCCAAAAGAAGUGGGAGCUCAUGGUUUGCCAGAUUCUGUGAAAACUGGCCGGCUAAUUUGACCAAAAGUUGUAAUAAUUUUCAAGAGAGUCCCAUGACUUUUCUUUCUUUAAAAGCUACUGAAAAAAGUGCCCUUUGCAGGACUAAAAUAUUAUAGAAGAACUUUCUUGGUCGACAUUAUAUGGAAUUUUUACAGUCUUUGUUGACAAAGGUGGAGUGGCACCGUCUUAUAACGUUCCAGUCCAAGUCGUAGUUCUAUUGGUGGCUGGCUGCAGUUCUCAGCCCAUUUCCUAGAAAAUUCACAGUCAGCAGACAAUCACAUCACUAAUUCUGGGAUUAAGGAUUAUAUUUAAUUCGGACAAGAUAGAAUAGCUCAAGACAUUCAUUGUAAGGUAGCCAUUAUUGUCCCUCUCUGCAAUCAAGAAAUUUUUUUUUCAAGCAAAAAUGAAGAAAUCAGAGGUGGUGUUGAUCCCAAUACCUGCUAUGGGUCAUAUUGUAGCACUAGUAGAGGUAGCUAAGCUUCUUGUUCAACGUGAUGAUCGCCUAUCCACAACUGUCUUCGUAAUGCAUCCAACUCUUGAUCCUAGCACCACCAAAUAUACUGAAACGCUUGCUGUCUCAACUCUCCCUGAUCGUAUGCGAGUCAUUAACUUGCCAAAUCUUGAGUCCAUAACAUCUGCUACCAAAGGUCGUCACUGGCUAACGUGUUUGAUAGAAGGCCAAAAAUCUCAUGUCAAAGAGUAUGUAUCCAAGAUUAGAACUCAGUACGAGUUGAAUCCGGAUUCUCCUCGACUUGCUGGGUUCAUUUUCGAUACGUUUGCUACUGGGAUGAAAGAUGUACCUAAUGAAUUUGGAGUUCCAUGGUAUGUUUUUUCUGCUUCAGGUGCAGCUUUUAUUGGGAGCAUGUUGCAUCUUACUGCUCUUCAUGAUGAGCAGGGAGUUGACCUUACCGAGUUGAAGAACUCAGAGGAUGAAUUGGAAAUUCCGUGUUUGGCGAACCCAAUUCCUGCUAAACUUGUGCCUUCCAUGGUGUUCGAGAAAGACUCACUGACUACUUUUCUUGAACAUGCUCGGAUAUUGACUGAGGCUAGGGGUAUUUUGAUCAAUACAUUUUUAGAGUUCGAAUCCUAUGCAAUUAACUCUCUGUCAGAUGGUAAAACCCCUCCCGUGUACCCAGUUGGUCCCAUUGUGAAACAUGUAGGAGAUGGUGGUGAUCUGCGGUCGGAUGAGAGCAACAAUUAUAGGGACAUCAUGGAAUGGCUUGAUGAUCAACCUCCAUUAUCGGUUAUGUUCUUAUGCUUUGGAAGCUGGGGAAGUUUUAAAGAGAAACAAGUGAAAGAGAUUGCAAUUGCACUUGAGCAUAGCGGGCAUCGGUUCUUAUGGUCUCUACGCAAACCUUCACAGAACGGUAAAAAGCAAUCUCCGAGUGAUUAUGAAGAUUUUCAAAGUAUUUUACCUGAAGGUUUCUUAGAUCGAACAGCUAUGAUUGGGAAGGUAAUUGGAUGGGCUCCACAAGUGGAAAUUUUAGCUCAUUCAGCCGUGGGAGGAUUUGCAUCACAUUGUGGAUGGAAUUCUACACUAGAAAGUGUAAGGUUUGGUGUUCCAGUUGCCACUUGGCCAUUAUAUGCAGAGCAACAACUUAAUGCUUUUCAAAUGGUGAUUGAGCUAGGAUUAGCCGUGGAAAUUAAAAUGGAAUAUUGGAAGGAUUUUUAUGGUGAUACUGAAAUAAUUGUGAGCAGUGAUGAUAUAUUGAAAGCUAUAAAGAGUGUUAUGGAAGAAGAUAGCGAGGUCAGAAAGAAGGUAAAGGAGAUGAGUAGAAUAAGUGAAAAAACCUUGGUGGAUGGAGGAUCUUCAUUUUCUUCAUUAGGUCGUCUAAUUGAAGAUAUGACGGAAAACAUGUCAUGAAUCAAUUGUUUUGAACUUUCCUCUAAGCAAUCUCUAAAAGAAAAAAUGGAAUAGUUUUCCAUUGUUUUUGCUUAUGAUUCUAUAUAAUGGUAGCAAUUUUAUGUAUUAAGAAUGAUUGUCAUGGUCAAUUAAUCAAUAAAUGUAUUGUCCUUAGAAAACAGUUUUUUUUUUUCCCUUCAGUAUAAAUUUAUAAUAUAUAAUAUAUAAUAUAAAUUUAUAUGUUGUUCAAGAUAACUUGAUUAGCACUCGACGGAAAAUAAAUUAUUAUCAAAGUACUAAUUAAAAAAUAUACUCAUCGUUUUCCAGUCCAAUACAGUCACAAGUCUCAAUCAUAGAUAUUAAACUUAGUCUAAAUUUAGAAAAAUUUAUAACUUAAAUUAAUUAAUGUACUAAUUGAUUUAAAGUUUAUUUUUUAAAAAUAUAGUUAUUAAAACUUAGUCUAGUUAAAUAAAUUGAUUUAAAAACCAUAGCACUUAACGAGGCUUGGGUUUUUAAUUGAAUAAGUUUUUAUUCGGUUAAACUCAAUUCUAAUAUAACAAGGUUAGCACUAUAAUAUUUAUUUUAAAAAAUAAAUAAUAUUGUUUUAACUAAAACAAUUUACGCGAUAACUUAUAAAUUAACGUAAUAACAUGAUAAUUCAGAUACUUUUUUGAGGUUAGUUAUCAGCUUCCCAAGAUCAAAUAUGAUAACUAUGUUUCCGACUGCUUCAUUGGACUGUUUUUGUAAACAUAUAUCUAUUGCUAGUAGCCGUUGAAAUUCUUAAAUUAAAUGCAUGUACAUGGUUAACUGCCAGCAAAGCCAUGACAUCACUCUAAUUCUAGAACUUCAAGAUUUAUAUUCCAAACAAGAUCAACUUCCACGCAUCCCAAGUAGACCGCCGUUGUUCACAGCAAGAAACAAAAAUUUCUAGCAAAGAAUGGAGAAAGCAGAGAUGGUGCUAAUCCCCAUACCUGCUGUGGGCCAUAUCGUAGCAGUAGUGGAGAUAGCUAAGCUUCUUGUUUAACGUGAUUCUGGAUGGUUUCUAUUGUGUGUUGUUAAAAUAAAUUCUAGUGGUGGAACCAUGAUACGUGGCAUGCACUAAGUCUUAAUAAAUGAAUAGAGUAAGCUAAGACUUUCCUUAGUCACUGUCAAGAAAUAAAAAUAUUGAAAGACACCACAAUUAUUGGAUUAAUGGACCAAUAGAGCUGAUAUCAAUUACAAGCUUGUUUUUUUCAACCAUAGUUAAAGUUAGCUUGGUCUUAUAAUUUACUUUAAGAACUUACAAUUUUACCAAUGUUGGAUUUUUAAUUGAAUCGAGCUUGAUAUUAACUUUACGUCAAUAAAAUUUGAUUUGACUAUAAGUUAAAUCAAUACUAAAAAGAGUUUUUUUAUUUAUAUAAAAGGAACCAAAGAAUAUUUUUCUAGUAAAAAUAUUUUACAUGACCCAUGAACUAACCUCCUAACAUGAUAAUUUAGAUUUUUUUGCUUCGAUAAUCAGAUUUCCCAGAUCAAAUCUGAUAACUACUAUUUCUGUGAACAUCUAUGGAUGAGUGGUCGUAGAAAUUCUUAAAUUAAAUGCAUGUAUAUAUAGUUAGCUUGCCAGCAAAGCCAUGACAUCACUCUAAUUCUAGAACUUCAAGAUUUAUAUUUCAAACAAGAUCAUGAUCACGUCCACACAUCCCAAGUAGACCGCAGUCGUUCACAACAAGAAACACAAAUUUCUAGCCAAGGAUGGAGAAAGCAGAGUUGGUGCUAAUCCCCAUACCUGCUAUGGGCCAUAUUGUAGCAAUGGUGCCUAAGCUUCUUGUUCAACGUGAUGAUCGACUCUACACGACUGUCUUGGUAAUGCAUCCGACUCUUGACCGCAGCACUACCAAGUACAAUGAGUCACUUGGGGCAUCAACUCUCCCUGAUCGUAUGCGAGUCAUUAACUUGCCCGGAGUUGAGUCCAUAACAUCAGAUACCAAACCCAGUACCUGGCUUAGUUCUUUGGUUGAAGGCCAAAAACCCCAUGUCAAAGAAUAUGUUUCAAAGACGAGAACUCAAUGUGAGUUGAGCCUCGAUGCUCCUCGACUUGCUGGGUUUAUUUUUGAUUCGUUUGCUACGGGACUAAAAGAAGUGGCCAAUGAAUUUGGGUUUCCAUGGUAUGCUUUCUCUGCUUCAGGUGCAGCUUUUCUUGGUUGUGAAUUGCAUCUUCAGGCUCUUCAUGAUGAGCAGGGAGUGGACCUUACUGAGUUCAAGAACUCGGACGUUGAGUUGAAAAUUCCGAGUUUAGCGAACCCACUUCCUGCUAAACUGUUGCCUUCGGUUUUGUUUCAGAAAGAUUCGCUCGCUAAUUUCCUUCAGCAAGCAAGAGCAUUGGCCGAAGCCAGAGGUAUUUUGGUAAAUACAUUUUUCGAGCUUGAAUCCAAUGCGGUUAACUCUCUCUCUAAUGGUAAAACCCCUCCAAUAUAUCCGGUGGGACGGAUUGUUAAACAUGAAACAGACUGUCAUGAUGUGGGUUGGGAUGGGAGCAAGAAGCACAGAGACAUCAUGGAAUGGCUUGAUGAUCAGCCUCCAUCAUCAGUUAUGUUUUUGUGCUUUGGAAGUCAUGGAAGUUUUAGGGAGAAACAGGUGAAAGAGAUUGCUUGUGCCCUAGAGAAUAGUGGGCAUCGAUUCUUAUGGUCGCUACGUAAACCUCCACCGAGAGGAAAGUGGGAACCCCCAAGUGAUUAUGCAAAUUUUCAAGAAAUCUUACCGAAAGAGUUUUUAAACCGGACAGCCAAGAUUGGGAAAGUAAUCGGAUGGGCACCUCAGUUUGACAUAUUGGCUCAUCAAGCGAUAGGAAUGUUUGCUUCGCAUUGUGGAUGGAAUUCUAUACUAGAAAGUAUUAGGUUUGGUGUUCCAAUUGUCGCCUGGCCAUUAUAUGCAGAGCGACAGUUUAAUGCCUUUCUAAUGGUGGUUGAGUUGGGAUUAGCCGUGGAAAUUAAGAUGGAUUACAGGAGGGAUUUUCAUGGUGAUAAUGAAAUAAUUGUGGGUGCUGAUGGUAUAAUGAAAGCAAUAAAGCAUGUUAUGGAGCAAGGUAAAGAAACAAGAAAGAAGGCAAAAGAGAUGAGCAGAAUAAGUGAGAAAACCUUGAUGGCUGGUGGAUCUUCGUAUUCUUCUUUGGGUCGUUUAGUUGAUGAUAUAAUAGACAACCAGCCAUGAAACAACUGUUCCAGCUAUGCUCCAAGUUUUUGCUUCAAAUAAGCAAGGAUUUGUCAUUUUUUUUAGUUCAAUAUUUUUCUUUAGGAGAAAAAUAUUUGUUUAUCUACUCUUGUUUUAUAAAAAAAAACAAUUGACGAGGUUCUAAUUAAAUCCACAUAAGCAUAUGAACUUCUAACCUAGGGGUGAGGUGACUCAUUACUCUGUUGGAAUGUGCUUGAAAGGGUUGUGGACCUGCAAAACAGGUCCCUUCUAUGGGUGGUGAAAAUGACAUUAGCUUCGAUCACUUGAACAUGACAGCAGAUGAAGUUUCACGGCAAAGAGUACCAAAUGGAUCAAAUUUGGCACACAUUUAAGUCAAAUUGGAUGCAAUUGACCAGAAAGGAACUCGAAGGUCUGAGUUAAUUUUCAGAUAUAAAUAUAGAGGUGAAAAUGAAUUUUUUACAUUUCAUGUUAUCUAGUGAUAUUUCACUCGCUUUCCAUUUACACAUGCGGUUUGAUAUUAGGAUUCUUGGAUAGCUCAAAAUGAAGCAUUCUUGCAAAUGUUAUGAGUUUUAUAUUACUUUUUGAGUUUGUUCUUAAAGAGAAAACAUACGUAAAGAUAAAAAAAAAUUUAAAAAUUAAUUCCAUCAUAUAAAAAAUAUCUCUAUCUAAUAUUAUUCAUAAGAAUUUUGCAUAUAUCACUGUUUGCAACCUAAUCUGAUUUUACUUUUGAAUAUUAAUAACAAUAAAAUAGCGAACUAGAAAUAAUUUGGUUUCCAAUAAUAUUAAACCAGAUUUAGACUGAUUAUGCAAAUCCAGAGGAAGCUGUGCCCUCGGGAUUCUUAGAUCGUACGGCUGGGAUUGGGAAGGUUAUUGGUUCGGCUCCUCAAGUGGCCAUUUUAACUCAUCCAGCUAUCGGUGGGUUUGUAUCACAUUGUGGUUGGAAUUCUAUACUAGAGAGCUUGUGGUUUGGUGUUCCAAUUGCUGCAUGGCCAUUGUUUUCAGAGCAACAACUAAAUGCCUUCGAGAUGAUGAUUGAACUGGGAUUAGCAGCAGAGAUUAAAAUGGAUUAUAGGAAGGAUUUUAGAGCUGAAAAAGAAGUGAUUGUGAGUGCUGAUAUUAUAGAGAAAGGAAUAAUGUCUGUUAUGGAGCAGGAUAGCGAAGUAAGGAAG